rnacentral:rRNA from 1 species
CCUGGUAGUCCACGCCGUAAACGAUGUCGAUUUGGAGGUUGUGCCCUUGAGGCGUGGCUUCCGGAGCUAACGCGUUAAAUCGACGCCUGGGGAGUACGGCCGCAAGGUUAAAACUCAAAUGAAUUGACGGGGGCCCGCACAAGCGGUGGAGCAUGUGGUUUAAUUCGAUGCAACGCGAAGAACCUUACCUGGUCUUGACAUCCACAGAACUUUCCAGAGAUGGAUUGGUGCCUUCGGGAACUGUGAGACAGGUGCUGCAUGGCUGUCGUCAGCUCGUGUUGUGAAAUGUUGGGUUAAGUCCCGCAACGAGCGCAACCCUUAUCCUUUGUUGCCAGCGGUUAGGCCGGGAACUCAAAGGAGACUGCCAGUGAUAAACUGGAGGAAGGUGGGGAUGACGUCAAGUCAUCAUG